rnacentral:rRNA from 1 species
GUGAGGAAUAUUGGUCAAUGGACGAGAGUCUGAACCAGCCAAGUCGCGUGAAGGAAGACGGUUCUAUGAAUUGUAAACUUCUUUUGUGCAGGAAUAAAGUGGGUUACGUGUAACCUUUUGUAUGUACUGUACGAAUAAGGAUCGGCUAACUCCGUGCCAGCAGCCGCGGUAAUACGGAGGAUCCGAGCGUUAUCCGGAUUUAUUGGGUUUAAAGGGUGCGUAGGUGGAUUGAUAAGUCAGCGGUGAAAGUUUGCAGCUUAACUGUAAAAUUGCCGUUGAAACUGUCGGUCUUGAGUGCAAAUGAGGUAGGCGGAAUGUGUUGUGUAGCGGUGAAAUGCUUAGAUAUAACACAGAACUCCGAUUGCGAAGGCAGCUUACUGGGAUGCAACUGACACUGAUGCACGAAAGCGUGGGUAUCAAACAGGAUUAGAUACCCUAGUAGUC